rnacentral:rRNA from 1 species
CCUACGGGAGGCAGCAGUGGGGAAUAUUGCACAAUGGGCGCAAGCCUGAUGCAGCCAUGCCGCGUGUGUGAAGAAGGCCUUCGGGUUGUAAAGCACUUUCAGCGGGGAGGAAGGCGUUAAGGUUAAUAACCUUGGCGAUUGACGUUACCCGCAGAAGAAGCACCGGCUAACUCCGUGCCAGCAGCCGCGGUAAUACGGAGGGUGCAAGCGUUAAUCGGAAUUACUGGGCGUAAAGCGCACGCAGGCGGUCUGUCAAGUCGGAUGUGAAAUCCCCGGGCUCAACCUGGGAACUGCAUUCGAAACUGGCAGGCUAGAGUCUUGUAGAGGGGGGUAGAAUUCCAGGUGUAGCGGUGAAAUGCGUAGAGAUCUGGAGGGAUACCGGUGGCGAAGGCGGCCCCCUGGACAAAGACUGACGCUCAGGUGCGAAAGCGUGGGGAGCAAACAGGAUUAGAUACCCUAGUAGUC